CACGUAGGGGCCAAGCGUUGUCCGGAUUUAUUGGGCGUAAAGAGCUCGUAGGCGGUUGGGUAAGUCGGGUGUGAAAACUCCGGGCUCAACUCGGAGACGCCACCCGAUACUGCUCUGACUUGAGUCCGGUAGGGGAGUGGGGAAUUCCUGGUGUAGCGGUGAAAUGCGCAGAUAUCAGGAGGAACACCGGUAGCGAAGGCGCCACUCUGGGCCGGAACUGACGCUGAGGAGCGAAAGCGUGGGUAGCAAACAGG
rnacentral:rRNA from 1 species